CCUACGGGAGGCAGCAGUGAGGAAUAUUGGUCAAUGGCCGGAAGGCUGAACCAGCCAUGUCGCGUGAAGGUCAGUGCCCUAUGGGCGUUAAACUUCUUUUGUGCGGGAGCAAUAAUGGUCACGUGUGGCCAGACGAGAGUACCGUACGAAUAAGCAUCGGCUAACUCCGUGCCAGCAGCCGCGGUAAUACGGGGGAUGCAAGCGUUAUCCGGAUUUAUUGGGUUUAAAGGGUGCGUAGGCUGUGAGGUAAGUCAGCGGUGAAAUGCCCCCGCUCAACGGGGUGAAGUGCCAUUGAUACUGCCUUGCUGGAAUGCGGAUGCAGUGGGAGGAAUGUGUGGUGUAGCGGUGAAAUGCGUAAAUAUUAGGAGGAACACCAGUGGCGAAGGCGGCUUACUGGGCUUUAACUGACGCUGAGGCUCGAAAGCGUGGGUAGCAAACAGGAUUAGAUACCCUAGUAGUC
rnacentral:rRNA from 1 species